rnacentral:rRNA from 1 species
UACGGGGGGGGCAAGCGUUGUUCGGAAUUACUGGGCGUAAAGGGCUCGUAGGCGGCCAACUAAGUCCGACGUGAAAUCCCAAGGCUUAACCUUGGAACUGCGUCGGAUACUGGAUGGCUUGAAUUCGGGAGAGGGAUGCAGAAUUCCAGGUGUAGCGGUGAAAUGCGUAGAUAUCGGGAGGAACACCAGUGGCGAAGGCGACUACCUGGCCCAUUCUUGACGCUGAGGCGCGAAAGCUAGGGGAGCGAACGGG